GUGCCCUUACUGUCCAAGAAGCCCAUCAUCCAUGGAGACGGCAGCUUCCCACGCAGCUCCUCAGUGACCCCGCAGACGGCCACUGGUGCCGAGCGCCGAGAGGAGCCGCUCCGUGGGAAGGGGCAGAAGGACGGAGCCUCUUUGGAGCCACAGCAGUCCUUGCUCGAGGCACUCUCCUUGCUCAGCAGCGAUGACUGGGAGCUGAAGGAGAAGGGACUCUUCAGCAUCAAACACCUGGCUGAGUCCCACUCAGAAGUCCUUCUUUGUAGAC